rnacentral:rRNA from 1 species
GCGUAAAGCUCAGUAACACGUGGCCAAACUACCCUAUGGAUCAGAACCCUCGGGAAACUGAGGCUAAUUCUGAAUAGGGCUUGCAUCUUGGAGUAGAGCAAGUCCGAAAUGCUUCGGCGCCAUAGGAUGUGGCUGCGGCCGAUUAGGUUGACGGUGGGGUAACGGCCCACCGUGCCAAUAAUCGGUACGGGUUGUGAGAGCAAGAGCCCGGAGACGGUAUCUGAGACAAGAUACCGGGCCCUACGGGGCGCAGCAGGCGCGAAACCUUUACACUGCGCGACAGCGCGAUAAGGGGACCCCGAGUGCGAGGGCAUAUAGUCCUCGCUUUUCUGGACCGUAAGGUGGUUCAGGAAUAAGGGCUGGGCAAGACCGGUGCCAGCCGCCGCGGUAAUACCGGCAGCCCGAGUGAUGGCCGAUUUUAUUGGGCCUAAAGCGUUCGUAGCCUGCCAGACAGGUCCGUCGGGAAAUCUGCACGCCCAACGUGCAGGCGUCCGGCGGAAACCAGCUGGCUUGGGGCCGGAAGACCCAGGGGGUACGUCCGGGGUAGGAGUGAAAUCCUGUAAUCCCGGACGGACCGCCGGUGGCGAAAGCGCCCUGGGAGGACGGACCCGACGGUGAGGGACGAAAGCUAGGGUCACGAACCGGAUUAGAUACCCGGGUAGUCCUAGCCGUAAACGAUGCCCGCUAGGUGUGGCGCAGGCUACGAGCCUGCGCUGUGCCACAGCGAAGGCGCUAAGCGGGCCGCCUGGGAAGUACGCCUGCAAGGAUGAAACUUAA